rnacentral:rRNA from 1 species
CCUACGGGAGGCAGCAGUAAGGAAUAUUGGUCAAUGGGCGGGAGCCUGAACCAGCCAUGCCGCGUGCAGGAGGACUGCCCUAUGGGUUGUAAACUGCUUUUGCACGGGAACAAACACCGGCACGCGUGCCGGCUUGAGUGUGCCGUGAGAAUAAGGAUCGGCUAACUCCGUGCCAGCAGCCGCGGUAAU